rnacentral:rRNA from 1 species
UACGGAGGGUGCAAGCGUUAAUCGGAAUUACUGGGCGUAAAGCGUGCGUAGGCGGUUAUUUAAGUCAGAUGUGAAAGCCCCGGGCUUAACCUGGGAACUGCAUUUGAUACUGGAUGACUAGAGUUGAGUAGAGGAGAGUGGAAUUUCAGGUGUAGCGGUGAAAUGCGUAGAGAUCUGAAGGAACACCAGUGGCGAAGGCGGCUCUCUGGACUCAAACUGACGCUGAGGUACGAAAGCGUGGGUAGCAAACAGGAUUAGAUACCCUGGUAGUCCACGCCGUAAACGAUGUCAACUAACCGUUGGGCGCUUUAAGUGCUUAGUGGUGGAGCUAACGUAUUAAGUUGACCGCCUGGGGAGUACGGCCGCAAGGCUAAA